AUAAAAGUAGAAUGAUCAAAGGUACAAUACUGUAUAUUUUAAAGACAUGCUUUUACACUGAUAUUGCAUACACAUCCUGUCUAUAACUAGUUACUGAUGAAAAAAAAAAAGCUAUCAUGAUAUAUAUUAGAAGAGUGAACUAUUUUCUUAACAGAUGCAAAUAUAUCUGUCUGUAUUUUAAUGUUAGCCUGUGCACAAAGAACUAUUUUAUUUACAAAAGGUUACAUAAUAGAUGGAUAGAUGGAUAUACAUUUUUAACAUCACUCUUAAUGUGUAAAUAUUACUUUGCAAAUUAGUAGUUCUUGAAUUUAUUGUGACUGUUUAGAUUUAAAUGCAUUUUUUUUCUCUCUUCUUGUAUAAAAAUGGCUUUUUAACGAUCUUGUAUAGUUUCUUGAAAAUGUGUUCCAUUUUAAAUUAACCCCUUAAGGGAAUCGUGACAUAUCACACAUGUCAUGUGUUCUUAAGGGGUUAAAGGUAAAGUUGGAAGUGUGUCUUCAGCCCUAUCCGAAUUUCAAUAGGCUUUUGGAGUUUGUACCCUCUCAUUUGGACCAUCUCAGCCAUCAAUCAAUUUACAUAGCCAAGGGAGCCUAUUAGUAUGCUGAUAAUAUUGCCAGGUAGUGACAUACAUGCUCAUAAAUAGACUCCACACUUACUUAAAGGGACACUAUCAAAACAACUUUAGUAAAUUGAUGCAAUUAUGGUGUCUAUAUCAUGCCACUGCAAGCUUACUGCUCAAUUCUCUGCCAUUUAGGAGUUAAAUCACUUUGUUUAUGGAGCCUCAAAUACAUCUCCAUGCAUGUGACUCGCAUUGCCUUCUUAAGCACUUUUUGCAAAGAGAGAUCUAUUUACAUUACCUUUUAUUGCACAGUCUAAUUUAGAAUUUUUUUUCCCUACUAUGUUAAGUCUUCUAGAGACUGCUGGAGCCUCCUGUAUAUGAUUAAAGUUUCAUAACCAGAGCGAAGUGUCAGCACACUCAGGGUGGCUAGGAUGGCAUAACAAACAAAAGUGAAUGAACUCCUACAUGGCAGAGAAUUGAGCAGUGAGAGUGCAGGGCAUAUCAUCUAUAUACCAAAACAGCUUCAUCAAGCUAGAGUUGUCUUGAUGCCUAUAGUAUACCUUUAAUGGUAACUUUAAAAUGUGCAAAUUUUUUUAAAAAUAUCACACAACCUCUACCCUGUUACAAAUAGAGCACAAUAAUGCUCUGAUGCUUUAAAGAUGGUAACAUUUAAUGUAUACAUUAUUCUUGCCAUAUUGCUAAAUGUUAUGUUUAAAAUUCCAAUUGAUGUAUCUGUGCCAUCAGGAUAGAGUUACCGAUUUGAGUUGACAAUGGAUUGUAUUUUUUCACAAUGCAGAGCAUAGUGCAAGGACAUUUUUAAACAGACAGGCAGUUACAUUAUACCAUUAAUGGCUAACCUUGGCACCCUGGAAUAUUAAACUACAUGUCCCAUGAUGCACCAUCAGUUGUUUUUCUUUCCCCUAGUAAUAGAGAUUUAAAUAGUCCAGAAAUCGCUCAUGAUCAUGAGCUUCCUUAUGCUGCUUUGCCUGUCAUAAGGCUGCAGUUGGUUUUCCAUCACGACCAAGAUUAGCCAUCACUGUUUUUUUGGUUUUGGUAAGAAAAUGACAAGAUUGCUUACCUGCAAUGAAACUAGUUUUCCACGUGUGCAUGGGUCACACAGAUUCUCAUUUAUAGGCCAACUAUAUUUUAACAAAUGACUAUAAAGGUUCAUUUUUGUUUACUGAUUUUGAUUAACUUUUUAAUAAAUACUUGUGAACUUAUUACAAAAAGCAUUACUUUUUUACAGAGCAUAUUUUUUUUUUAAAUAAACUAAAG